rnacentral:rRNA from 1 species
UACGGGGGGAGCAAGCGUUGUUCGGAUUUACUGGGCGUAAAGGGCGCGUAGGCGGUCACGCACGUCCGUUGUGAAAUCGCUCGGCUCAACUGGGCGGGGUCAGCGGAUACGGCGUGGCUGGAGCAAGCUAGGGGGCAAUGGAAUUCCCGGUGUAGUGGUGGAAUGCGUAGAUAUCGGGAGGAACACCAGUGGCGAAGGCGGUUCUCUGGGCAUGUCCUGACGCUGAGGAGGCG